AGGAACACAGAGGGCUUUUGGAAACACCUAAAUACAAGCCAUAACACCUUCUCAUCCUAAAGCGUAGAGGCCUCCCACAAGGCCCAAAGUGGCUGAGGAGACCUGUUAUGGUGAGCCGUAGCUAUCCAAUAAGCAUGGAUGAGAGUCUGCCUUGAAAUUGGUUUGCUGUGACAGUGCUGUGGAAAAGAGAAUCUCCCUAAUUGAUCUCCCUGUUGACCAUGACACGUCAUAUUAGUCAGCUUAUCUCAGGAACCUGGCCACAACAAUGGAAAGCAGACUAGCAAUGGAUUUUAAUGUUUAUAUUAUUUAAUUUUUGACAUAUAUGUUAAAUCAUUGAAUUAAGGAAAGAAAUGAGUAAGAGGAAGGAAAAAAAAUAUCCAAUUUGGAGACUUUCAUUUACCAUUUUUCUGUAACAUCAUUUGACUAUAUGGUUACCUUUUGGAAAGAUUAUUUCCGGGAAGAUAUUUAUUUCCAAUUAAGUAAUACAGUCAUAGGGAACGUAAGUUUCAUUAGUUUAAAGCACUGAAAAUCAUAUUUGCAUGCUGGUAAAGAUCAUAUUGAAUACUUUUGUCUCAGAAAUUAUUUUUUAAAGGCAGACUCAGUGUUCUCAAAAACUUCUAGUAGUCAUAAACUGAUAACAGAGAUGAAUAGUUCUUGAUGGGAGAGAGAAAUUCAUAAAUGUAGACCUACUAGUCUUCUGGCUCUAGGUACAACAUAAAAUGACAACAUCUUUGUAGACAGAU